GGAGGAAUGGCAGAGCGGCCGAAUGCACCCGCCUUGAAAGCGGACGUGGGUGAAACCACCGGGGGUUCAAAUCCCUCUUCCUCCG
rnacentral:tRNA from 1 species